AUGUGUCUGUGCGCGUCUCUUCCAGCUGCAGGGCCGCUGCUCCGCGCCCUGCCGCCAGGUGAGGCCGAGGCCCGGCGCCCUGCUGCCUCAGUCCCGCGGGCGGGGUCGUGCUCCCCCGCCUUCCCCCCCAAUCUCUCACAGAGGGGGGCUGUCCCCUUCCGGGGCGGCGGGGGAGGGGAGCGCCGCAGCUCUUCCCCACCCCCUCGGCGGGAGCCUGGAAGUUGGGAGAUAAGUUGGGGAGAAAUAAAAGUUGUGGUUGGCGGCGCAGCUCCACGGCCGGGAAGGGCGGGCGGGCAGCAGAAGGGAGACGCGCGGGCGGGCGCGCAGAGCGGAGCGCUGAGCCGGCGGGACGAGCCCGGCCGUGAGGCGACCGCGGGCCGCGCGCUGUGGGUCCGGGGGGGCCGGCCGACUCCCUCUGCUUCGGGGCGCCCGGUGGGCGGGAGGCGGUGCGGGCGGGCGCGAGCAGGAGGGCCGAGCGGCGCAGGGCCGUCUCGGUCGGAUACGGUGCGGGCGGGCUCAGGAGGGGCGGAGUCGGCCGCCGAGAGUGAUUCGGGCGGGCGUAACUGCGAACUUUUGUUUGGAGUGUUGUGCGAGUUAGUUUCCGCCGCCGGGACGGAGGCGCCGGCCGGGCUGGGCCGGGCUCGGGGCAGCGCCGCGCGGUCAGAGCCGUUUCGCCCGUCCCCGCCGAGGGGUAGGAAGCGCCGGGGACAGCGGGACGAGUCGCGGCGCGGGGCAUGCGGGGCCGACCCUGCGCGCUCUGAGCCGCCGAGCCCCGCGAGGAAGCGCCAGGGGGUCCCGCCGCAGCCAUGGAUCCCGGGCAGCCUCAGCCGCAGCAGCCGCCGCAGGCGGCUCAGACCCCGGCCCCGCAGCAGGCGGCCCCGCAGCCCCCGGGCGCGGUGUCGGGAGCUCCGGGAGGCGCCGCGCAGCCGCCGGGCGCGGGGCCCCCUCCGGCGGGGCACCAGAUCGUCCAUGUGCGGGGCGACUCCGAAACCGACCUGGAGGCUCUCUUUAACGCCGUGA
rnacentral:lncRNA from 1 species